rnacentral:rRNA from 1 species
GACUGCAUAAGGGGAUUGAAUGGUUACCGGAAGGACUUUGGAAAAGUCCGCUAUAGAGGGUGAAAGCCCCGUACGGGAAAACGAUUCGAAACUCGGCAGGAUCCAGAGUACCACGAGACACGUGAAACCUUGUGGGAAUACGGGGGGACCACCCCCUAAGGCUAAAUACUACUUAGUGACCGAUAGUGCAUAGUACUGUGAAGGAAAGGUGAAAAGGACCCCGGGAGGGGAGUGAAAAAGAACCUGAAACCCUAUGUUUACAUGCAGUGGAAGUGCGAUACAUGAACGCACAACCGCGUACUUUUUGUAGAACGGUCCGGCGAGUUGCCGGUGCUGGCAAGGUUAAGGACUACAGGUCCGGAGCCGAAGGGAAACCGAGUCUUAAUAGGGCUUACAGUCAGCAUCGGCAGACCCGAAACCGGGUGAUCUAUCCAUGUCCAGGUUGAAGUUCCCGUAAAAGGGAAUGGAGGACCGAACACACAUCCGUUGAAAAGGGUGGUGAUGAGGUGUGGAUAGGGGAGAAAUUCCAAUCGAACCCGGAGAUAGCUGGUUCUCCUCGAAAUAGCUUUAGGGCUAGCCUCGACUUAGUCAGACGGAGGUAGAGCACUGAAUUCCUGAGGGGGCGUCAAAGCCUACCAAGGGAUAUCAAACUGCGAAUGCCGCACUGAUGAUGGUCGGGAGUCAGACUGUACGAGAUAAGUUGGACAGUCAAAAGGGAAAGAGCCCAGACCUACAGCUAAGGUCCCAAAAUACGUGUUAAGUGGAAAAGGAUGUGGGAUUUCGAAGACAGCUAGGAUGUUGGCUUAGAAGCAGCCACACAUUCAAAGAGUGCGUAAUAGCUCACUAGUCGAGAGGUCCUGCGCCGAAAAUUUCCGGGGCUAAAACACGAUACCGAAGCUUAGGAAUGUAGCAAUACAUUGGUAGAGGAGCAAUCUCAGAGUGCCGAAGCGUUACCGUAAGGAAGCGUGGAGUUCUGAGAAGAGAGAAUGCCGGAAUGAGUAGCGAGAAUGAUGUGAGAAUCAUCAUGGCCGAAUAUCCAAGGAUUCCAGGGUAAAGCUGAUCUGCCCUGGGUAAGUCGGGACCUAAGGCGAGGGAGAAAUCCGUAGUCGAUGGACAGCAGGUUCAUAUUCCUGCACCUGACAUGAUCAGAACUGUGGGGACACAGGAACAAAACCGGACCCGGGAGAGCAAAGACCGGGCGAAGCGAAGUUAGGAGUGCGGUAGGCAAAUCCGCCGCACAAUCCGAAAGCGUGAUAGGGAGCGAAAAAUAAGUAGCGAAGCCGGUGGAGGGACUGUCGAGAAAAGCCGCUAUUGUAUCAUGUCAGCCCGUACCGCAAACCGACACAGGUGGAUGAGGAGAGAAUCCUAAGGCCGGCGGGAGAAGCAUUGUUAAGGAACUCGGCAAAAUGACCCCGUAACUUCGGGAGAAGGGGUGCCCAGGCAACUGGGCCGCAGAGAAAAGGCUCAAGCAACUGUUUAGCAAAAACACAGGUCUAUGCGAAACCGUAAGGUGAGGUAUAUGGGCUGACGCCUGCCCGGUGCUGGAAGGUUAAGAGGAGAGGUUAGCGCAAGCGAAGCUUUGAAUUGAAGCCCCAGUAAACGGCGGCCGUAACUAUAACGGUCCUAAGGUAGCGAAAUUCCUUGUCGGGUAAGUUCCGACCCGCACGAAAGGCGUAAUGAUUUGAGCGCUGUCUCAACAAUGCACCCGGUGAAAUUGAAGUACCAGUGAAGAUGCUGGUUACCCGCGCCAGGACGGAAAGACCCCAUGGAGCUUUACUCCAGCUUGAUACUGGGAUUCGGUAAUGUAUGCACAGGAUAGGUGGGAGACGAAGAAGAUAGAACUUCGGUUUUAUCAGAGUCGCUGUUGGGAUACCACCCUUAUGUUAUUGGAUUUCUAACCUUAGGCCGUAAGCCGGUCAAGGGACAAUGUCAGGUGGGGAGUUUGACUGGGGCGGUCGCCUCCGAAAGAGUAUCGGAGGCGCUCAAAGGUUCCCUCAGGAUGGUUGGAAACCAUCCAAAGAGUGCAAAGGCAUAAGGGAGCUUGACUGCGAGGGCGACGGUCCGAGCAGAGUAGAAAUACGGACUUAGUGAUCCGGUGGUAUGAAAGUGGGAUUGCCAUCGCUCAACGGAUAAAAGCUACCCUGGGGAUAACAGGCUGAUCUCCCCCAAGAGUUCACAUCGACGGGGAGGUUUGGCACCUCGAUGUCGGCUCAUCGCAUCCUGGGGCU